rnacentral:rRNA from 1 species
UACGGGGGGGGGCAAGCGUUGUUCGGAAUUACUGGGCGUAAAGGGCGCGUAGGCGGUUCGGCAAGUCUCUAGUGAAAUCUCUGGGCUUAACUCAGAGUCUGCUGGGGAAACUGCCGGGCUUGAGUGUGGGAGAGGAGAGUGGAAUUUCCGGUGUAGCGGUGAAAUGCGUAGAUAUCGAGAGGGAACACCUGCGGCGAAGGCGGGUAGCUGGGCCGACACUGACGGCUGAUGCGCGAAAGCCAGGGGAGCGAACGGG